rnacentral:lncRNA from 1 species
AUAUACAAACACAUAUGUGUGUGUAUAUAUAUGUGUGUGUGUGUGUAUCUAUAUACACACACGGAGAGAGAGAGAAAGAGAGCACAUGCAUAUAUAGAUGCAAAUAAUUUGAGGCUAAAUGUUUAGUUGUAAAUUAAAUUAUUUUUAACAUUUUAACUUUAUUUAUUUAUUUAUUUGUUUGUUUAGUUUUCAAGGUAAUUAUGGCUUUCAUAUCCAAUCACUACAAUGAGAUUACCCGGAUUCAUUGGAUUCAUUGGGAAAAAUAUGGCAUAUUAGCAAAGCUUCUCUUAACUCAGACUUCAGAAUUUCUUUUUCAGUAUGUAAAGAAAUCUACAAUUCAUAUAGGUAAAACAUACAGGAUAGCUUUCAGUGAAAUUAUUAUUGCAUAUUUAUGAGAAUGCACAGUAAUUAUAUUAAAAAAGAAUUUAACCCAUGUUUUUCAAUGAUUCUGCUUGCUUAAGAGGCUCUUAAAUAAAUUGACACAAAAGAGCCUCAAAAUGCUAAUUUAAUGACUACUGAAUGGAUCCUGAAAAUCUAGUUCUACUUAGCAUUGGAAAUGAGACAGGAAUUUCU